AGAACGAACGCUGGCGGCAUGCCUAAUACAUGCAAGUCGAACGAACUCUUCGGAGUUAGUGGCGCACGGGUGCGUAACGCGUGGGAAUCUGCCCUUGGGUUCGGAAUAACAGUUGGAAACGACUGCUAAUACCGGAUGAUGACGAAAGUCCAAAGAUUUAUCGCCCAGGGAUGAGCCCGCGUAGGAUUAGCUAGUUGGUGAGGUAAAGGCUCACCAAGGCGACGAUCCUUAGCUGGUCUGAGAGGAUGAUCAGCCACACUGGGACUGACGACACGGCCCAGACUCCGUACGGAGGCAGCAGU
rnacentral:rRNA from 1 species